CUCACUAUGUGACAAGCGUGAACCACAUCCCCGUGGCCGAGCAGCACGUCGCCCCACAUGACGAACCAGCAGCAGACGGAUGGAUGCGAGCUGAUCCCUGCCGGGCCACCGUCCUCGCGCGGGAGAAUCUCAUCCACAGUGUGAAUGGGUAAGAAGUGAAUACACAGUUCAAUGAGCCAAAUUAAUUUAUUUUCUCCACCAGACGCUCGAGGACAUUUACGAGCCGGUCCAGCCGCUCGUUGAUCCCCGUGAUCCCCCUGAUGAUUUCUUCCUGCGAUUGCAGGACCCCCUCCGCGAGGACCCUUCCUCUGCGUCCGGGUGGUCCAGCGGAAGCGCCGCGGCUGGUGGACGCUCCACCGCUUGUCGGCGCGCAGCUGGUGCUGGUGCUGGUGCUGGGGC